rnacentral:rRNA from 1 species
GAUGAACGCUGGCGGCGUGCCUAAUACAUGCCAGUCGAGCGAACAGACGAGGAGCUUGCUCCUCUGACGUUAGCGGCGGACGGGUGAGUAACACGUGGAUAACCUACCUAUAAGACUGGGAUAACUUCGGGAAACCGGAGCUAAUACCGGAUAAUAUAUUGAACCGCAUGGUUCAAUAGUGAAAGACGGUUUUGCUGUCACUUAUAGAUGGAUCCGCGCCGCAUUAGCUAGUUGGUAAGGUAACGGCUUACCAAGGCAACGAUGCGUAGCCGACCUGAGAGGGUGAUCGGCCACACUGGAACUGAGACACGGUCCAGACUCCUACGGGAGGCAGCAGUAGGGAAUCUUCCGCAAUGGGCGAAAGCUUGACGGAGCAACGCCGCGUGAGUGAUGAAGGUCUUCGGAUCGUAAAACUCUGUUAUUAGGGAAGAGCAAAUGUGUAAGUAACUAUGCACGUCUUGACGGUACCUAAUCAGAAAGCCACGGCUAACUACGUG